rnacentral:tRNA from 1 species
GGUUGUGUCGUCCAGAGGUUAAGACGUGGGAUUUUGACUAGUUGGAUUUCCCACAACCCGGGUUCGAAUCCCGGCAUGACCU